AAAGAAAUUAGGGUUCAAUCCUCAGCCCCAUCUGUCAUCGAUUGAUUGAGGUAAUCGACGGAGGUGAGGAUUGAGAGCAACAGAGGGAAAAUUAGGGUUCAAAGCUUAUACCCCAUUUAUACCCCAUCUGGUUGGUGAGCGAGCCUGGAGCUUUUGAUCGACUCAGAGCAGCAAAGGGAAAAAAGUGAGCGUUUAAACUUGUUCCCCAUCUAUCGUUGGCGAAAGUGGAGGUUUCAGGCGAUUUAGAGCAAGAGAGGAAAAAAGUGAGUAUUGAAACCUUCGACCCCCUCGAUAGCUAGUGAAGCUGGCUUUAUAUUUCUAUUCUGUUCUCCUUCGUCGGUGUUGUCAUCAUUGCUGAAACCUCCUCCUUCGUCUAUUGCAGCCCCCUUCAACGUUUGGAUGCUCAAUGGGUGAAUAAAAUUUUGAUUCAACGGUGACGAGCAGGAGAAGGAUUGCUUUGGUUAAGCAAGUUAAAGUGGAGACGGAGUAUGAAGGGCCGAAAAGGUUUUGUCACUGUGGUGUAUUGGCUCCUAGAUGGACAGCUUGGAGUGAGAAGAACCUUGGUAGAAGAUUUUAUGGAUGCCGAAAAUACAAUCAGGAGGAGGCUACGGUUAUUUUAGCUGGCGUGAUAAAGAAAUGGGUCAGAGACCAAUUGAAGUGAUCACUGAGUUGUCACAUAGAUUCACUGUAUGAUGGGAACUUGAGGCUAAAAAGAAGACUUGAGGGUGAAGAGUUAGGAGCAGAGAUGUGUAGAAUAUAUCAAGAAUUGAACAAGAUGGAGAGGAGGCACGGCAAGUUUGUAGCUGCAGCUGAAAGUGGGAAAAAGAAGAUGAAAAUACUGCAACUUGCUUUGUUGUUGUCUUGGCUUUGUGUUUUUUAUUUCCUUGUAAGGUAGUGAACCAUGAAAAUACUGCAGCUUGCUUUUUGAUUUUGUUGGGAUGUAAAGUUGUUUAAAGAUGGAAGAAGCACUGAACCAUGUGAUAUUUUUGCUCAUAAUCUUAAAUGAUAUCCUAUUGGCAGUAAACAUUUGUGAUCAUGUCUUUUGAAUAGAAAGCAAUCAUGGUUCCAUGUUAUGGCUGUUAA